ensembl:lncRNA novel transcript
CAGCCCUGUAGGAGACACCUCCAGAGAAAGUAACAGCUCUCAAUUGAUUAGCUGAGUCUCAUGAUGUAGCUUUGAGACAAACUACAAUUGUUUAUUUCUUCCUCUUGAAAUAUAGCCUCAGAAUGUGCUGUGAACCUCCACUGCCUUCCCUUUCCCACUUUAUGCUCCUAUGCCUUAUGCAUAUUUAUUAACCCAAAUGCUUGUUAACGCACACCAUGCUCACUUACCUGGUCAUAUCUUUAGAAGCCUCAGGGGCUGGAUCCUGACAUGAACCAGACACCUCCAGAAUUCUAUCCCAAGCAAAAGAUUAUUUCAAGGCCAGAACUCACUCCCUGCUGGAGACUGACUACAAGAUCCACUGAGAUUGAUGUGUAACCUGAUUGGGCCCACAGUGAUGCUAGCCCCUUCACCAGAUGGAACAAUAAUUCCAGACAAGCCAUCAGAGCAGAGAGCAGAGAAGAGGAGAAGCAGCUGGAUGUCAGAGACUGCAGUUUGACGUUGGAGAAAAGCAGCUUGACUUCAGAGGGACAGCUUGACAGCAUGGAUUCAGAGAGGAGAAGAUCACCUUCCUGCUCCGUCCCCUUUCCAGCUCCCUUUCCCACUGAGA